rnacentral:lncRNA from 1 species
ACAUCUCUGCUGUCCAGCUCCACGAUGUGUGCUGAAUGACCUUCCACUGCAUACUGUUGGCCGUGUACAAGUACGGCAGGAGUUCUGAUACUCCAUGCUUGGCUGUGGAUGUUGAAAAUCCACAGCUCAUCAGUAACAUUGCCAUUAUUUGUUUCGAUUUUGCCUCCAUACAUGUAGAUGUCUUCCUGAUAUAACGCAAGUGUGUGUCCGUAUCUCUGGAGCGGCCCUUUGGAUACAGGCACUACGUUCCAUAUACUGCUUUCCAAAUUGUAGUUCAACACCAUUUGGAAUGAACUGUAGUUAAAAGUAUAUCCGCCAAUCACCCACAUAAAUUUUCCAUGUAGAACUGCCUUAUGGGAAGCCCG